rnacentral:rRNA from 1 species
AUACGGAGGGUGCAGGCGUUGUUCGGAAUCACUGGGCGUAAAGGGCGCGCAGGCGGUUUGGUAAGUCAGAUGUGAAAGCCCACGGCUCAACCGUGGAAGUGCAUUUGAAACUGUCAGACUUGAGUACUAGAGGGGAAAGUGGAAUUCCCGGUGUAGAGGUGAAAUUCGUAGAUAUCGGGAGGAAUACCGGUGGCGAAGGCGACUUUCUGGCUAGAUACUGACGCUGAGGCGCGAAAGCGUGGGGAGCAAACAGGAUUAGAAACCCUAGUAGUCC